GAUGAACGCUGGCGGCGUGCUUAACACAUGCAAGUCGAACGGGAUCCAUCAAGCUUGCUUGGUGGUGAGAGUGGCGAACGGGUGAGUAAUGCGUGACCGACCUGCCCCAUACACCGGAAUAGCUCCUGGAAACGGGUGGUAAUGCCGGAUGUUCCAGUUGAUCGCAUGGUCUUCUGGGAAAGCUUUCGCGGUAUGGGAUGGGGUCGCGUCCUAUCAGCUUGACGGCGGGGUAACGGCCCACCGUGGCUUCGACGGGUAGCCGGCCUGAGAGGGCGACCGGCCACAUUGGGACUGAGAUACGGCCCAGACUCCUACGGGAGGCAGCAGUGGGGAAUAUUGCACAAUGGGCGCAAGCCUGAUGCAGCGACGCCGCGUGAGGGAUGGAGGCCUUCGGGUUGUAAACCUCUUUUAUCGGGGAGCAAGCGAGAGUGAGUUUACCCGUUGAAUAAGCACCGGCUAACUACGUGCCAGCAGCCGCCGCAG
rnacentral:rRNA from 1 species